AUGACAGCUGGAGCACGAGGCAGGUCCCAAGUCCACAGCCUUGUGGGGAGUCUGGGGGCACUGCCCAGCUCAGCCAGGGAGAGGGGGAAGAAGGGGAGCCCAGGGCUUCCUGGAGACUGCCAGGCGGCCACCCCUCCACACCCUCUGGCCUGGCAAGUCCACCCAGGACCAGCUCCAGCCUUGCAAACCUCCUGGCACCCACCCACAAGCCCCAACACAAGCUCCAACACCACAACCUUCCCAGCAACUGCAUUUUGUGGAGCUGGAAACAGGAUCAGCCUGGGGAGCCAGCAUGCAGACAGGAGCCUGGAACCUUCCCUAGGAUGGCCUCCUGGUUCCUGUUGGGAAAGGAAGGCUGGAGAGAAGAGCCCCGGAGAGGAAGGAGCAGCAAGGGUCUGCAUCUGCGGAAAACUGCCCAGCCACCACUCUACCCAGAGCCCGAGGUGUGUGUUUCACAUUCUCACUGUCAGAGGUUUUGAUUGGUGCAAAUCCCAGCCAACCCUCCAGCCUGUGGCCAGCACCACUCACCAGGGACUCCAUCCCAACCCAGAAGCUCCUUUGCAAAGAUGCUGAAAGAAAAGAAGAGAAUGAGAGAAUGACCCUGCUCCUGGCAGAAGAAGCCACAUGGGAGCAAGACACUGAGACGCCCACCUCCGUGCCCCUAGUUGAAAUGAUAAUGGUCACUCACACAUCUCAGCUCCCCAGGCUCUUGCCUAGAUACCUGCCUCCAAACAGAAGGCGCCCAGCUCUACAGAGUCACAAAGACGCCCCCAUAAAAAGGGUCCUGUUAAGAACCAGGUGACCAGCAAAGGCAGGGUCAGGGCAUUGGCACAUGGAUUCCACUUAGAUGAAAUCAAAGUGGCUGUACCACAGCUACAGCCUGUCCCUUCCCUCUGGGUGGCCUGAGUCCCCCAGCACAGACUCCAUGGGCCCGCCGCCAAGUGUCCACAGCACUGCACCAGAACAUCAAGAAGCUGCUCUGUUAGAAGAGAGGACUGAGUGGCAGUUAUCACUAUGAGUCUCUUGUCAUUUUAAUCUGGACCCAUUUGUUUAGGCUUGGGGAGUCUGGGGGGGGGGCGGUGGUGGAGCACCAGACCUCAAUGUUUGCCUCUUCAGACCUCAGACCUCUCAGAAGGCUCGUGGGCCUUGAAGAGGGCACGUUCCCCCAAUGACUGACCCCACAUAGGACCUGGCAUACCACAGACUGUCACACCACGCCAUCCUGGCUUCCGAGAACUGGGCCGGGGGUGCUCCUCUUUCAACUUGCCACCAAUACACCCAGUGCCAAUCACACCUCAUGGGUCCCCAGCUGUGCACAACACUUUGGGGCUGGGAAGCCAAGUACAGUACGAGGGGCCACCCCAUCCAUCGGGAGCACACAUUUCCUAAUACAUAAAGCAACAAGUGCAUUAGGUGCCAUGAUAGGAGAGCUGGAGCCCAGAUUUCACACUUUCAGAGCCAUCUCAGAUGGAUGGCACUGCCACCAUGCUGGGGAGUGAACACUAGUUUCCCACUUUAAAUAGGCAUCAGGCCAGGAUAGAGAUUAAGCAGGAAGCUAUUGCUGGUGGUGAGAUGCUACCUUAGGCCAAAAGAAUACAAGCUCCAGAGCAAGUCCUCGCACCUCCCUAAGGCAAUUUCCACCCUGCUUAUAUGGAUCACAUUGGCAGGGAAUCUUUGUGCAGUGUCCAACCGGGGCAAUCAGACCUAACAACCUUGCCCACUGUCACAGGACUCCAAUGCAAGCAAGCUAAGAAGUUUUACAUGCACAGGCAGAGAAGUAAAUUAAACUCCAGGAGCAUGAAUUGGGCAAUCCCUAUGUCUUGAGGGCAGAGCUCCAAAGCUGAGUGAAUAGGAUCUAGUCCUGCCAACCAGACCAGAGAAGGCAGGAGGAUGUAUCACCACACAAACAUUGUGUUCUCAAGCCAGGCCCUCGGGUGUCAGGAUGAUGGAGCUGUGGCCCCAUCUCAGGUGUCACGUGCUAAAGGAAGAAAAGAAACAUACCUGGAGGAGCCACAGAAAGUGUGAUGAAAGCUCAGGUAGACAUGUGCAGAGAACGUUUUAGGAGCCCAAAGGAGCUAGGAAUGCAGAAUCUUGGACCCCAAAUGUGCCUUUUACUCAGACGCCCAGGCACUGACAUACACACGUGAGCAGUACAGCACAGACACACGGGAGAGUCGCCCACACACGCGUGUGUGUCCGAGACAGCUUCCACUGGACUGGGCAGCCCUUGGAGACAUCUCAGAUGCCCUUCCCCAUCCCAUCAGAUGCAGAGACUCACGGCUCCCUCCUCUCCAUGGCUCCAGGCCCUGCUCAGAUGGCUUCAGAGUCUUCCCACCUUUUCCAGCCACCAGACCCCGUACCUACCUCAGGCAAGGAUCCAAGCUCAUGCCUCCUUGAGUCCCCAAAGUUAGCCCUCCGCCAGGCACCUGUGAUGCAUGAUAUCUGACCACAAUGAAGAUUUGCUGGGUGAGUCAAUAAACUGUACUUGAGCUGCUUUACCA
rnacentral:lncRNA from 1 species